GGUUUCGAUCGAAGAUUGUUCAACCCAGCUCGAUCCUCUGUUUUGCAAGGACCGAUCCACGAUUCGUCCGAAUCGCGAUCGCCCAACGAGUUGGUAAUAUAUUAGGGGCAGAUGAACCGAAGAGAACCGUUGGCUAUUUUCGCGCGAAACGUUUAAUUUAGCGUCUAAGCACGCCGACGAUAUAUCGUCCGGCGCGCUAACAAGUCUAACCCUUUCAGUGUCGCAAUUACGUGUCGAGAUUAAUAGCGACGUUUCUAUUUAGCCAGUGGGGAAAGACGAACGAUGAAUUAUUGUCAACUACCCUCCCCCGCCGCUUGCUUGAAUCGGAACGCAGCGAAUGCUGGACGAAAUUGGCGAAAUCCAACACGAAGAGUCGCCCUUUCGCUGCUGCUGGAGUACUAAUUGAUAGGCCAGCUGGAAUGCAGCGGGUAGAAGAAAAGCUGCAGACUCGAGGAGGUAGUUAAAUUGAUACAUGUAGCGAUGGGUGACGUAAGGAACAAUUCACCUGGUCUCCUCGAUAAGUGUUACAAUUUGGGCCUGAUUUGGAGACUUCUAACAAGGAGAACACUCUCGGAAGUUUGGAAACUACUGGAUUAUAGGGCACGUAACGAGAUGCAUAAUACGAACAAAUUGAUGAUAUCCGAUUAACGUAUGCCCACGCGUUUCCGGCCCAAUUGUACGACACGAAUACCGUGGGUACAAGUUUAUCAGGAAUGCACCUGUUCCUCAGAUGACUGAUCACCAAAAUCAUAUUCUCGUUUCUUCGGUGACGUAAAUCGGCGUAUCCCAUUUCUGUAUUGACAUUUCCUCUGACAUAUGUGAGAUUUAUACCGAGUGAUGUUUCGUGGCAGUAAAAUACAACGCAUUGCUUUCCUACAAGGUGUAUCUAGUUCACGUCUAAUCACGGUGCAUAAAUGCAGCUCGAAAGGACAGCGUCUCAAGUUUCACUGCUUGAGGUGAAACGGCGAAUCGUACGUGUACAGCCUACAUGUAGGUGGACUUUCAUAGAUUUGAUACGAUUGCGUGAUGCGUGUGUGUCGGAGUACUUUCUAGAAGCGAUCUAUCAUCUCGCUCGAUUAUGGCAUACUCGCCUUUUAUCCACGAUAGUUUAGGUUUAGAACGACGAUGCCGUCAGCAGACUGUUGAACCUCUUUUUCUCACAUUCUGGAAUUUUCGAUUAUUAUUUGCUCGAGGCGACAAUUCUUCAACUAUGUGGUGAUUAAUAUGCAAGGAAAGUGAGAUCAACGCAAUUUGAUUCGAUAAAUGAGUUUUCCAUAGUGCUCGUCUCAAUUCAAAUCUCCAAGUGUCCAAAUCUUGCUAAGGAUUGUCACUAGGUCUCAAGGAUGGAAGGAUUUGCUCCGAGAUUAGUCACAAGCUGAGUUACAACGUUAUUAGUAUACCAAUACCAUAUUGUCACCCAACACUCGUCGAACAACAGACUGUACAAGCAGCCAAGCAGGUUAUAGCCCUUCUAGGUGAAAGUCCCUAACUCCGACACUAACCAAGAUCGCGUCUCCUUUCAUCAGUUGUUUUUGUCUCUACCAGAGGUGGUGACUUCCUCCUAGAAAGGCAAGCAUCUUGGUGGGCUGGACAACAACUCCAAACAUUCCACAAUUAUUAUUUAAACUGUCGUAUCAAUGAUGGUUGCCCAAAUUACUCCAAUCUCCAACCAUGUUAAAGACGUUCUCCAUUAGGUUACUUCUCACUCCUAGACUUUAAUACACAACCAUCAGAGGUCUAACCUGGUAUCACGAACAACAGUUGUCGAAGCCUUUAAGAAAAACAACCGUUCCAUCCAUGGUUACCAAAAGAAAGCUGACGUCCAUUAGAGACCAAACACAAAUCCAAACGCCAGCCAUCGCACAGACCGCGUUUCGCGGUGCAUAUUGCAGUGAAUGUUGAUACAAGGCAGAGGCGAUGCGCGACAAUUUACGUCACCAGGCUGAACUAGUGGAUGAUUGAAACGGGUCGUCGUUUCAACAACAGCUGCGUUCGCGUGGGCGUACGAUCACUUCGCUGGCGCAAGCACCUCGCGAGAGGGCGAUCCUGGAGGAAAAAGAGUUGUCCUAUUAGCGGUCAGGGUAUCGUUGGCAUUAACCUGUAGUAACGCAUUAACGACGCGUCAAGUCAACGCGUGACAACGCGACCUCUCUCUGCCGCAUCCCAGCUGAGGUCCAUCCGCGAUCCUCUCUGACUCUCUGUUUCUCUCUGUCCCGCGGUUCUCCGCUCGUCCUUCUCGCUCUGUUGCACUCCCUGCCCCUCUGUGAACUCUCUGCUACCGAGCUCUGUGAGGAGAUCAAUAGGGAUCCUACACCCCGUGCCUCCUCCGACAUGCUGGAGGAGGACAAAGGUACUCUGAUGUUCCACUCGCGUUGCCAGCGCUUCCUGUAUACGUGUACGCUACGCGCGUCCGCACACGCGCCUGUCUGCGGGAAUCCGUGCCGUCGUCUACGUGUUGUCGCGAAUUUCACGGAGAGAAACGGACCAGGGAGCUCUGCGAGCCUAGACGUGCGCUGGCGGGGACCAAUGUAGCGAUCUGUAACGCGUAGACGCCUGGUAGCGUUAUGUCCAUCGAGUUGAGACGAAUUUUGAGACGAAUUUUGAGACGAAGUCGAGUCGUCCAGCUGGCUGCGUUCGUGGCGACUCGAUUCGACUUUCGAUUCGUUUGUGCGGCUGCGGUGGCCCGUGGUUUUGUGGAGCAGUCUGUGCAACAACCGGUGCAAGCAACCGCGAGUGCAGCUUUCUUCUUCGCUGCCAGUCCAGUGGCACGCGUGUGUACACGUGGGUUUGGCGGUUUUAACAGCCACGCGUUACACGCUCUCACAAAAUUUCACCGUUCUCGCGACCACUAUGGCACACGACCCGUGCGCCUCUUAACGCAUUGACGUCGAAUGACGCACAGAUGCGUCAUUCGGGCGUUUCAUCACGGAGUCCAGAUGACGACAAAAAUACGCCAUCGUUGGUCUCGCCGGAGAUUUAUAAAGGAUGUGCAUAGUUCACUUUCUUUUUAUAAAUGUCACGAGUAGACUGUAAAUGUUUAUGACAAGUGUAAUUAUACAAAGGUCCGCAAUAUUUAAUAAACAUUUAAUAAACAUCAACAAGCCAAUCAUGAUGUCCCUUUGAAUUAAAAUAAUGUGAAAGUACGUCGUUGCGGUCCAUUUCCUGCAUACUGUUUCCUGUAAAAUAGGAUUACGAUUUCGCUAUGAGAAAAUUUAGGGGUUUCUUCAAGUAACCAUCUCAUGAUUGUUAUAUUUAUGCUGUACUAUUUAUGAAAGUAU